rnacentral:rRNA from 1 species
GAUGAACGUUGGCGGCAGGCUUAACACAUGCAAGUCGAGGGGUAUAGUUCUUCGGAGCUAGAGACCGGCGCACGGGUGCGUAACGCGUAUGCAAUCUACCUUUUGCAGAGGGAUAGCCCAGAGAAGUUUGGAUUAAUACCUCAUAGUAUGUGAGAAUGGCAUCAUUUUCACAUUAAAGUCAAAUCGGCAAAAGAUGAGCAUUCGUCCCAUUAGCUUGUUGGUAAGGUAACGGCUUACCAAGGCAACGAUGGGUAGGGGUCCUGAGAGGGAGAUCCCCCACACUGGUACUGAGACACGGACCAGACUCCUACGGGAGGCAGCAGUGAGGAAUAUUGGACAAUGGGCGCAAGCCUGAUCCAGCCAUGCCGCGUGCAGGAUGACGGUCCUAUGGAUUGUAAACUGCUUUUGUAUAGGAAGAAACACUGGUUCGUGAACCAGCUUGACGGUACUGUAAGAAUAAGGAUCGGCUAACUCCGUGCCAGCCGCCGCCGUAAGAC